UUGUGCAUAACAACACUGACGUAAAACCAAUCUGUACGACGGCAGCACCAGCAGCUAACAGUAGUACAUUCACGUUUCAACAGCUAGCUGGCGUACAAUCACUAGUUAGACGUUAACUUACUUUUUGGCUAUCUUUAACGGAAGUUUUCAGAAGAAGUUUAACAGACAUGAGUGACCAGGGGGACAUUUGUCCCCACCUGAAUUCCAUCGGGGAGGUAACCAAGGAGGAGCUUCUGCAGAAAUCCAAGGGAUCCUGCCUGUCAUGUGGAGUGGGAGGUCCCAACCUCUGGGCCUGUCUGCAGAGCGAGUGUCAAUAUGUUGGCUGUGGAGAAACCUUUUCCGACCACAGCACCCUACAUGCACAGGCAAAUAAACACAACCUGACGGUGAACCUGACCACUUUCAGGAUCUGGUGCUAUGUGUGUGAGAGGGAGGUGUUUCUGGAGCAGAGGCCUGCAGUUGUACCUACAAUGUCUGCCACACACACUCCCCACCACUGUAAAGCUAAGGAACACCAGGUACGCCAUCGCACAAAGGAUGCAGUUCAUCAACCAAUGAGUCACCACCACCCGUUGAAAGCAGUCCCUAUCGCGGUAGCCGAAGAAGAGUGGUCAGAGUCAGAGGAGGAUGUGCUCAAACCCAGAGGUUUGACAGGGAUGAAGAAUAUUGGUAACUCCUGCUACAUGAACGCAGCCCUUCAAGCCCUGUCCAACUGUCCUCCUCUCACUCAGUUCUUCCUGGACUGCAGUGGACUGGUGCGGACUGACAAAAAGCCUGCACUGUGCAAAAGCUACCAGAAACUCAUCUCUGAGCUCUGGCACAAGAAACGGCCCAGUUACGUAGUCCCCACCAGUCUGUCCCAGGGCAUCAAGCUGGUCAACCCCAUGUUCCGUGGCUACGCCCAGCAGGUAGGGGCAAGCUCCCAGCAGGACACCCAGGAGUUCCUGCGCUGUCUGAUGGACCAGCUCCACGAGGAGCUCAAAGAGCCACAGGCAGAGUGUGGUGGGGGAGGGGAGGGGGAUGAGAGGAGGGAUGGGGGCGACCGCUCCCCCUCUGAGGACGAGUUCCUCUCCUGCGACUCAGGCGCCAGCAGCGACCGGGGGGAGGGAGGGGGACUGGGGGAGCCCGAGCUGCUCAUUCAGGACGAGUGUGGGGUGGGGCCGAGAGUUGGAGGAGGGGGGACAGGCACGGGCGGAGGGGUUGGCACAGGUGGGCCCAUCUCAGAGAAAGAGAGGCUGAAGGAGAAAAGGGUGUUGGGCUCGCCCCUCCACAGGGGCUCCCAGGAGAUGGACGAGGACGCUGAUGUGGAUACGACAGUGGCUGAAGAGGGUGGUCUGGAGAGGGGAGCGGAGGAGGAGGAGGGGACCCCCCCUAGCCCUAGGCCACAGGUUCCGAGUCAGACACAGGUGCAGACGCAGAGCAACAGCACUCCAGAGCCAGACAAUGAGGCAUCGAUGCAGAAGCGCCCCCAGUCUCGCCCCUGCAGCCCCGUCCGUACUGUCCAGGAACUGCACCCUAAACUCUCCCCCAGCCCCACUCGCUCCAGCCCCUUCCGCUCUGCAGGGCCCGAAUACUCUUUUAAGAAAGCCCAGCUGUUCCUGGGUGCCAAGAAGCAGAAGCAGUCUCACUACCGCAGCGUCAUCUCAGACAUCUUCGACGGCUCAAUCCUCAGCCUGGUCCAGUGUCUGACUUGUGACAGGGUGUCGACCACAGUGGAGACCUUCCAGGACCUGUCCCUGCCCAUCCCAGGUAAGGAGGACCUGGCCAAGCUACACUCCUCCAUCCACCAGAACCUCCCAGCCAAGACCGGGGUAUCUCUGGACGUCUACGGCUCCCAGGGCUGGAUCACCUACAUCAUGGACUCCAUACGCAGGUUUGUGGUGUCCUGUAUCCCCAGUUGGUUUUGGGGUCCUAUGGUCACACUGGAGGAUUGCCUCGCUGCCUUCUUCGCCGCUGAUGAGCUCAAAGGGGACAACAUGUACAGCUGUGAAAGGUGUAAAAAAUUGAGAAAUGGUGUAAAAUAUUGCAAAGUACUUCGGCUACCUGAGAUCCUGUGCAUCCACCUGAAACGUUUUCGCCACGAGGUGAUGUACUCCUUCAAGAUCAACAGCCACGUGGCCUUCCCAUUGGAGGGCCUCGAACUCCGACCUUUCCUGGCCAAGGACAGCCCUUCUCAGAUCACCACCUAUGACCUGCUGUCCGUUAUCUGUCACCAUGGCACCGCAGGCAGUGGUCACUACAUAGCGUACUGUCAGAACGUGAUUAAUGGUCAGUGGUACGAGUUUGAUGACCAGUAUGUAACGGAGGUCCAUGAGACUGUGGUGCAGAAUGCUGAGGCCUAUGUCCUCUUCUACAGGAAGAGCAGUGAGGAGUCGGUGAGGGAGAGGCAGAAGGUGGUGGAUUUAGCUAGCAUGAAGGAGCCAAGCCUGCUGCAGUUCUACAUCUCCAGAGAGUGGCUGAACAAGUUCAACACUUUCACUGAGCCAGGGCCCAUCAGCAACCACACCUUCCUCUGCCAGCACGGAGGGAUCCCGCCCAAUAAGUACCACUACAUCGACGACCUGGUGGUGAUCCUGCCCCAGAACGUGUGGGAGUACCUGUACAACAGUUUUGGAGGAGGUCCAGCAGUGAACCACUUGUACGUGUGUGCCAUCUGCCAGGUGGAGUUAGAGGCUUUGGCCAAACGCAGGAAGGUGGAAAUAGACACCUUUAUCAGGUUGAAUAAAGAGUUCCAAGCGGAGGAGGCUCCUACAGUCAUCCUGUGUAUCAGUAUGCAGUGGUUCAGAGAGUGGGAGAGCUUUGUCAAGGGCAAAGACAAUGAGCCCCCUGGUCCUAUUGACAACAGUAAGAUUGGUGUCAUGAAAGGGGGACACGUACAGAUCAAGCAAGGGGCUGACUAUGGUCAGAUCUCAGAGGAGACGUGGCAGUAUCUCCUCAGUAUCUAUAGUGGAGGGCCUGAGAUUGCAGUGAGACAGACGGUGCCGGCCACCAACACAGACGGCCUGCAUGGAGAGAGGAAGAUCGAGGCAGAGACCAGGGCACUCUGAGAAAUGGCUCGUCUCUGUUCGACAACCUGAGCUAAAACAGACCUGAGGACCUCACACCGAGGACAACCCUUGCAUGACCAAAGCCUGACCAGGACCACGGUUUUGGAUUGAAAACACUAGUUGGAGCCAGAGUAAACCAUACUGCAGAUGAACCAUAUCCUGGAUUAAGGAGAGAGGGGGACAAAUAUCUAACACUUGUUCCAUCACUCUCCCUCCCUACUGGCACUUUACAGAACAGACUAAUAUCUGAUGUAAAUAUUGACAUUGUGUUGGACGCCUGUCCUCAUCUGAAUUGCACUAAGAGAAAGAGAAGAGCAAGUUAUGGGAGCUCAUCCAUAACCCUUUGACUCCUCAACUGGCGGUGACCUCAGAGAUGCCCUAGGGGCUGGGUUCGAUGUGAGGCAGCUGUCUGCUGCGGUCGACGUACAACCCACGUCUGACUUCGCUUUUUUUUUUUACUCCCUCUGUUUUCUUCUCUUGUUGUAGCUACACACCUCUUUCCCGCUCGGCCUGGGGCAAGGGUUCAAAUAGUCCUCCUGUAAAUCCAUUCCGAGGGAAGACGCACUCACUGGAGGUCUGAGUCAGACUGCGCCACUGAAAGAGAGUUGUGUGUGUCAGUGAGUGUCAUGUCUGUUUCACUUACUUACCUGUCACAUCUGUCCACCCGUCUGUCUGUGUGAGUGAUAUCACAUGCGUAACGGUUCGCGGUGUCUGUCUCGCCGUCUGUCUGUGGGAAUCAGUGACUUCAUGUGAUAAAACGUGUGUGUGCGUUUCUAUCAGCAUUCAACGAUACAAGCCAAUUCCACUCUGUGUGUAUUGCUCUCCAUAAACCCACAAUGGGCUGUGCCAUGUGCUCACAGUUGAUUGAUGUGUGGAGUCUGUCGGUGAGGAGAACCAGCCGAAGGGCCAUGGAACUGACUGCCCUUCCCGAGGCUCUCCAGGGGGGCUACCACAGAGUCACUGGCCUCCACUACAUGUCCUCCUUCUCCGAUGCAGAGGACUGCUGCGAUGACAACAACAGUCACAACAGCACCACCGGCAGCUCCUUCACUAUGGACUGGCAAGAGACAGAUGACUGACACCGGGGUGACAGAAGGGAUUUGGAAAGACUUUCUUGGAACUCUCAAAACAUCCCACAAUGAUGUCAUAAACAACCCAGUAUUUACUAGAACAAUGGCCUUACCAUCAUGGCUCACACUGUGUCAUAAACAAGCCAGUAUUUCUUUCUGACUAAGUGACCUGACAAGGAAAGAUACUAGAACCUGGAGUUCUGAAUUACUUUUGGCCCUACUCAAGUGAAUUACUCUGGGCCCUGAUCAUAAUGUAUCAGUCUACAAUAAAUCUAACAUUGAAAUACUGUCAGUGUCUUGGCUCAAAGAUGUAGUACAAGCGUAUUAUAGAUUUCUUACUAAAAUAGCUUGAUUAAACAGUUUCUCCUGUGUCAGUCAGUCAAUACAUUGCUUAUGAUUCCCUUGACGUUGGUCUAUUAAAAGAUGGGUGCAGGAAAAAUCUGUUGCGUAUUAUACAACACCAGACCCUAUUUUGGCAAAGACGUGGAGACACACACACCCGUCAGACACUGUGGACCCACGCACAUAACUCUGUUCUAUAGGAAUCUCUCACCUGGGUGAGAUCCAGUAGCCUGGAUCUCACAUCGCUGUGCUCACUAUUGUUUUACUUGACUUGAGCAAAGCAUUCAGUCUGGUUUAACCAGGGUACAGACAGAUCCAGAGCCAAACAGCAGAGGGGAAAGGGAAACUCUCUUUGAAGUUUGGCGCUCCCACCUACAAAGUUUCCACACCACCUGCAUCUUUUCAAACAAUCCGAACGCACGCUUUCUGAAAAUUACAUGCCCGGGGGAGAGAAAUGGUUAGGAGGACUGACAUGCUAUGGGUGUUUACCUGUAUAUAAUACCUAGUCAGUUGUACAACUGAAUUGCAUUCCACUUAAAUGUGACAAACUCCUUUCAUGCACAGGAAUAUUUCUCAUAAAAGAAUGAUAAAGAGUCCUUCUUGCCAACAGUAGCACCAUGGACAUUAUCCAGGAGUUGACAUGGACACAUCUGCCUUGUGUUAAAACUGAGCAAAUGAGGCUAUUAUUGUGAGGAUGUAUUAAGAGAGAACCAACAACAGAAACUGACACCAAAUGAUCUUUUUUCUAGGUCAGGUUGUUGUAAAGGUUAUGGAUACAUUUGAGAAGUCUAAGAACAGUUGCAUAUAAGGAUUUAAGUGCCCUUCAUGGCAGGAGAAACUGUCACCAUGAAAAGCGAACAGUAAAUUGGAGAGCGUUUUGUUGACAAGUUUGAGAUUUAUGGUAAACACCAGUCUAUUAGCACUGACAUCAUUGGACAUUGGCAUUGGGAGGAUUGUACUAUUGUUAGUGUUAUGAUGUGGAGGACAUCUGUAUCUAUAUAUUUGACAGAUGUAGGAUCUUACUUUGAUCACCCUGUUACAGGUGACAUUUCCUGCAAUCCAGGAAAUGCUCAACUUGUAGUGUUUAAAAAUGCUUCUGAAGUUUGUCAUUUCCACUUCGAAAUUUCUGAUUUUCCUUUAGGAAAAAUGUCCAUUAAUUAUAAUUCACAUAUUAAUUCACAUGGCCUGGAGCUGUAGCAAACUGUCUCAAAUUAACAUCUUACAUUUGUAUAUUUCUGUCUGGGCCUCUGAUGCUGAUGAUAAAUGGGACAAUCCAGGAAGGAUAUAGAAACCUCUCUUUCGCUCUCUUUAUUUCUCUCAUUGUCAACCAAGGGUUUUCCAAGGACAUUUUAGCUAAUGCUGCACUGCUUUUAUGGCACAGUGCUUCAUAACACUAUGGAGUUGCGGGUUCAAGUCCUGCUCCUCAAUGGAAGCUGACACGUUUCAUAGCACCUAUCCCCAGCCAGUAUCCUGGCGACAGUAGGCUUAGCUAUCCAGCUUUUAAAUUCUGAAUUCGUCCCUGGCCCUUUUUUCAUCUCUGAUAUCUGAGUAAUGAUUUAAUUAACUAUAAUGACAGAGUUCAAAUUGACUGGAAAGUUUUAUUUCAAGGAGAGAGGAGCGCGUGUGCGUUCCUAAGAGGUAGACUCUCUUUGAAGUUUGGCGCUCCCACCUACAAAGUUUCCACACCGCCUGCAUCUUUUCAAACAAUCCGAACGCACGCUUUCUCGAAAUGACAUGCCCGGGGGAGAGAAAUGGUUAGGAGGACUGACAUGCUAUGGGUGUAUAAUAAAAAUGUCUCUGUUUAUAGUUGCGGUCACGACAUGUUUUUCCUUGACAAAGUGUGACGUUUCAAUUAAGGCAGGGAUGGGAAACUCUGAAGGGGGUGGGGGCCACACUAAACAUGAACUCAUCAUGAGGAGCUGCAGUUUAUUGCAGAUCUGCAAGCAUUUUGCCAUAGGGUGGUGAGAAAUGUUUGCAGGUUUUAAUAUGAUAUCUGAGUGAGACUGACUAACAAAAUCAUUGGGGGCCCACCAGCCGGUAAUUAGGACCCUGAUAGGCCCCAGGCCGCCAGUUGCCCAUCCCUGAAUUAAGGACAUGUGAGAUCUCUUUAAUCUAUUAGUAGGCCUUUAAAAUGUCCUCUAUAGCCUUACACAGGUAACCAAUUCUACUUUCACCCCUGAAAAGAGGACACAAUAGGCAAUCCAAAGUAAUAAUCAUUUAUUCAUAUAAUGAGGGUAGUAUUUAGUGCCUAUAAAUUCAUAUUAUUUUUGAAAGAAAAUAGGGAGGCACAAGAAAAUCUGGUCACAACCCAACGGGCAAAAACAGGUUGAAUCAACACAUAAUUCCAACAAAAAAAUGUAAUGUGAUGAAGUUGAAUUAAUGUGGAAAACUGAUUUGGAUUAGCAAAAAGUCAUCAAUGUAAGGGAAUUUCAUAUUUUUUUCACCCUAUUUUUUAUCUAACUCCUAAGACAUGGUGAAAUAUUUUGUUGAUUUCUGUUGAAAACUCAACCAAAUGCAAAUCAAAACUAGAUGUUGAAAUGAUGUCUGUGCACAGUGGAAAUGUGGACACAGUAGACGCUGUCAAGAUCAAAUAAAAUGUUAUUUGUCACAUGCUUGGUAAACAAUGCAGAGAGAAAUAAUAACAGGAGGAAUAUAUACACAGUGAGUAAAUGCUAUAUACACAGUGAGUAAUGGCUAUAUACACAGUGAGUAAUGGCUAUAUACACAGUGAGUAAUGGCUAUAUACACAGUGAGUAAUGGCUAUAUACACAGUGAGUAAUGGCUA